GUGUUACUUCGGUAUCACAUCUACUAAAAUUGGAACGAUACAGAGAAGAUUAGCAUGGCCCCUGCGCAAAGGACACCCCGCAUUCCUCUCUGUUUU
ensembl:snRNA U6 U6 spliceosomal RNA